rnacentral:rRNA from 1 species
CGUAGGUGGCAAGCGUUGUCCGGAUUUACUGGGCGUAAAGGGCGUGCAGGCGGUUUGUUAAGUGCAGGGUGAAAGCUCCCGGCUCAACUGGGAGAGGUCCUUGCAUACUGGCGAACUCGAGGGAGGCAGAGGAAAGUGGAAUUCCCGGUGUAGUGGUGAUAUGCGUAGAUAUCGGGAGGAACACCUGUGGCGAAGGCGGCUUUCUGGGCCUUACCUGACGCUGAGACGCGAAAGCGUGGGGAGCGAACCGGAUUAGAUACCCGGGUAGUCCACGCCGUAAACUAUGGACACUAGGUGUGGGGGGUAUCGACCCCCUCCGUGCCGAAGCUAACGCAAUAAGUGUCCCGCCUGGGGAGUACGGCCGCAAGGCUA